rnacentral:rRNA from 1 species
AGAGUUUGAUCCUGGCUCAGAUUGAACGCUGGCGGCAGGCCUAACACAUGCAAGUCGAGCGGAUGACGGGAGCUUGCUCCUUGAUUCAGCGGCGGACGGGUGAGUAAUGCCUAGGAAUCUGCCUGGUAGUGGGGGACAACGUUUCGAAAGGAACGCUAAUACCGCAUACGUCCUACGGGAGAAAGCAGGGGACCUUCGGGCCUUGCGCUAUCAGAUGAGCCUAGGUCGGAUUAGCUAGUAGGUGAGGUAAUGGCUCACCUAGGCGACGAUCCGUAACUGGUCUGAGAGGAUGAUCAGUCACACUGGAACUGAGACACGGUCCAGACUCCUACGGGAGGCAGCAGUGGGGAAUAUUGGACAAUGGGCGAAAGCCUGAUCCAGCCAUGCCGCGUGUGUGAAGAAGGUCUUCGGAUUGUAAAGCACUUUAAGUUGGGAGGAAGGGCAGUAAGCUAAUACCUUGCUGUUUUGACGUUACCGACAGAAUAAGCACCGGCUAACUCUGUGCCAGCAGCCGCGGUAAUAC